GGAAGUAAAAGUCGUAACAAGGUUUCCGUAGGUGAACCUGCGGAAGGAUCAUUAACGAGUUAGGGUCUCCAAGGCCCGACCUCCCAACCCUUUGUUUACCAAACCAUUUUGUUGCUUCGGCGAGCCCGUCUUCACGGACCGCCGGGGGACCCCUAACAGAGUCUCCUGGCCCGCGCUCGCCGGUGGCCCCGAUCAAAUUCUUAACUAAACGUGUUUUGACUGAGUACCAAUUUAUUAAAUUAAAAGCAAAACUUUCAACAACGGAUCUCUUGGUUCUGGCAUCGAUGAAGAACGCAGCGAAAUGCGAUAAGUAAUGCGAAUUGCAGAAUUCCAGUGAGUCAUCGAAUCUUUGAACGCACAUUGCGCCCUUUGGUAUUCCGAAGGGCAUGCCUGUUCGAGCGUCAUUAUCACCCCUCAAGCCCCCGGGCUUGGUGUUGGACGGUUUGGUGGAGGCCCCCCUCGUCGGGGUCGCUGCCCCUCCCAAAGACAAUGACGGCGGCCUCGUUGGACCCCCGGUACACUGAGUUCUUCACGGGACACGUACUGGACACAAGGGUGCGCGGGGCACGGUCUGCCUCCCCUCUAGGGAGAAUUAUCUCAAGGUUGACCUCGGAUCAGGUAGGGAUACCCGCUGAACUUAAGCAUAUCAAUAAGCGGAGGA
rnacentral:misc_RNA from 1 species